rnacentral:ncRNA from 1 species
GAUAGGUCGGUGUCGCUUCGGUGAUUGGACACUGACGGAGGGUCAAUUAGCCUUGUGCAGGCGGUUCUUCACAUGAGGAACCGGGGCGGUCCGAGCCACGAGGGGGGAGGCUCGGGCCGUCCGUG